rnacentral:tRNA from 1 species
GCGGGCGUGGCGCAGUGGUUAGCGCGUAGGUCUCAUAUUCCACAAUAUGACUUGGGAUAUCCUAAGGUCGAGGGUUCGAAACCCUCCGCCCGCA